UGUUAGGCUUGGCAGGUCUUAAAUUAUUUUAAAAUAUUUAAAUAAUUUAACCUUUAAUUCACCUAUCCCAACAUGGCUACCGUGCGAGCACCUAUCAAAACCUUGAUGAAAAUAACAAACCGAAAAUCCAUUUGACCUUGGACGUGCCCCGUGCCGGUGCACUGGCCUUAGGGGUGCUGAAGAGCUUGAUUUGGAUGCCGGCGGCGGCGACGACAGUGCGCCGGCGCACAUCUCUAUGGAGGUGGACACGGCGACCCUUGGGCGACCGCCGCUGCCGCGGUUUGCUACAGGUGGCCAUGGCCACUAAUCUGUUGGAGGAGGCGCCCCCGGCACAGGUCCCAACCGCCGGAGACGCGGCAGAGACCGGGCAGUGGGCUGGCUUCCAGUCGCGAUACGACGCGGUCGUGACAGCGUCUCAGUACACAGGAGCCGCGGCUGUGGACGAUUGUUGAGAGACGGCGCGGGGCACCGAUAGAAGCUUGUCUGCUAGAGAUCAAAUCCUGUCUGCUGGUGGUAUAUAAUGCCGCGUAGGCGCUAAUGCCGCACUUCUCGCUCUCGAUCACCUCCAGCAGUCGCGCGGCGUACCUACGCUCGCUGCUCCUCGAGUAGAUGGGGCGGCAGCGGCGCGGGCGGAGCCUGUGGAGGUGGUGUCGAGGGCGACACAACUCUGAAGCUUUGGAAAAAAAAGCUGAUAAUACAUACUAUAUAAUAAUAAUACAUACUAUAUAAAAAAAAAAUGCUGAUAAUGCAUACUACAUACUAAAGCUGAUAAUACAAUAUAUACGAGCGGAAGCGGCGCGCGCACAGCGCCAGCACCGUGUCGAGAUCCUCCGGCGGCCUGCGCUCGUCGCUGAGCGUAUGUAGACUACUUGUGUCUUGUAGACAGUAGAGCUCGUCUUGACGGCGAAAUGUCAUUGUCCAAUUUUUCACUGUCCGGCGACCGCGGGAUGACAUUAACACUGUAUGUCACGCCGUGCACAUUAUGAGCUGACCUUUCCGUGACCUCUCACUGGUAGCCCGGCCCCGCUACAUAGCCAUGAGGGGUGGUUGUGUCUGUCGUUAGGCGUCCCGGCCGGUCCGCCGGUCCGCCGGCUGUCUGGGUGACGAACGGCGUCCGUGGCGACCCCGCGCGGGACGCACUAGCCGCUGGCUCUCCAGCAAACGGUGCACGUCCUGGGUGUUACCCGUUGCCAUUAUCCAUUAUCCAUUAGCAAUCCACAUGUGCCUAUGUCUGUUUUCGUUGUGAAUAAAUGUUUGCCUUGACAAGCGA